AAAUAGCAUGAAUAAAACGGAAACUUUUAGUUAUAUGGGAAAUUUAGUGAAAUACUGAAACUGGUCCGCAGCUGUAAAGGGAGUUUGUUCGUGGUAAUGCCUUCGCCGGACGCGAACAGAUGAGGAACUAAGUCAGAAAGCCAGCCGUUUUAAAAGACUUGCG
rnacentral:ncRNA from 2 species